rnacentral:lncRNA from 1 species
AAAAGAGCUUAAAAAGGAGUUGUUGAGUCGACAAGUCCCGAUCGUGAGUUUAAUAGAUAGAGGCUGAAGAUAAAUUUGUAAGGCAUUUAUGGCGCGUGGAUAUUACGUAUCAAUUAGCUAUAAGCCUAUAACCACACUUCUUUUUUUUUUUGUCAUAACAUUACAAAUCCUUGAACUUUUUUUUUUUUUUUUUCUUACGAUCGUACCAAACUACAAAUCUAGAUGUUCUCACGAAUACCACACUUUGGUCUUUGUUAUUUUUGCAAUAUCU